CCUACGGGAGGCAGCAGUAAGGGAUAUUGGUCAAUGGGGGAAACCCUGAACCAGCAACGCCGCGUGAGGGAAGAAGGUUUUCGGAUUGUAAACCUCUGUCCUCUGUGAAGUUGAUGACGGUAGCAGAGGAGGAUGCUCCGGCUAUCUCCGUUCCAGCAGCCGCGGUAAUACGUCGGGAGCGCGCGUUGUCCGGAUUUACUGGGGGUAAAGGGUGCGUAGGCGGCUUGGCAAGUCAGUAGUGAAAUCCUUGGGCUUAAUCCAUGAACUGCUAUUGAAACUGUCGAGCUUGAGUGAAGUAGAGGGAGGCGGAAUUCCCGGUGUAGCGGUGAAAGGCGUAGAGAGCGGGAGGAACACCAGUGGCGAAGGCGGCCUACUGGGCUGUAACUGACGCUGAGGCACGAAAGCGUGGGUAGCAAACAGGAUUAGAUACCCGUGUAGUC
rnacentral:rRNA from 1 species